CCUUCUUGGAAGAGCCGUCAAAGUGAAGCCUGAACUGAAACCCUAAAAGCAGCAACAAUAACAUAACAAAAGCUUUGUCGGUCAUUGGUGACGAGUUUGUGAGCCAUCGUUGCAGAGUUGGUGAGAUGACAUGUUGUUUGACGUUAUGGUGAUCGAUCAUCUGUAAAGGAGAAGAUGAGUUGGGCACAGCCACAAGAGAGGAGAAGAUCAUAUCGUAAUCAUGGAAAAAGAGCGAGAGUGAUAAAGAAAGAGGAGGUAAGAGGAAGAAGAAGAUCACGGAGAUGGAGGCCAAGGAGUCGUCACGGAGGAGAAGAGAUCAUCACGGUCAAGUGUUAGGAGAGCACAAGUUGGAUUAUGAUUGUGAGUAAAGCUUAGAGGAGGAUGAUAUGAGCAG